rnacentral:rRNA from 1 species
UAGCAAUAUGUGGCAUACGGCUCAGUAACACGUAGUCAACAUGCCCAGGGGACGUGGAUAACCUCGGGAAACUGAGGAUAAACCGCGAUAGGUCAUUUCUUCUGGAAUGGGUAAUGACCCAAAUCUACAUGGCCCCUGGAUUGGACUGCGGCCGAUCAGGCUGUUGGUGAGGUAAUGGCCCACCAAACCUGUAACCGGUACGGGCUCUGAGAGGAGGAGCCCGGAGAUGGGCACUGAGACAAGGGCCCAGGCCCUAUGGGGCGCAGCAGGCGCGAAACCUCUGCAAUAGGCGAAAGCUUGACAGGGUUACUCUGAGUGAUUUCCGUUAAGGAGAUCUUUUGGCACCUCUAAAAAUGGUGCAGAAUAAGGGGUGGGCAAGUCUGGUGUCAGCCGCCGCGGUAAUACCAGCACCCCGAGUGGUCGGGACGUUUAUUGGGCCUAAAGCAUCCGUAGCCGGUUCUACAAGUCUUCCGUUAAAUCCACCUGCUUAACAGAUGGGCUGCGGAAGAUACUAUAGAGCUAGGAGGCGGGAGAGGCAAGCGGUACUCGAUGGGUAGGGGUAAAAUCCGUUGAUCCAUUGAAGACCACCAGUGGCGAAGGCGGCUUGCCAGAACGCGCUCGACGGUGAGGGAUGAAAGCUGGGGGAGCAAACCGGAUUAGAUACCCGGGUAGUCCCAGCUGUAAAC